rnacentral:rRNA from 1 species
CCUUCGGGUUGUAAAGCACUUUAGGCGGGGAAGAAGAUUACUCUUUUAAGAGAUAGGUAAUUUGACGGUACCCGCAGAAUAAGCACCGGCUAACUCUGUGC